rnacentral:ncRNA from 1 species
AUCAGGCCGGCUCGACCGGCCAGGCUGGCGCGCCCGUCCGAUGCGGCGCGAAUCCGGUCCGGCGUCCGUCGAUAACCUGACGCCACG